rnacentral:pre_miRNA from 1 species
CGUCCACAGCAGCAUGGAAGACUAGUGAUUUUGUUGUUUGUUGUUUUAAAGGACAACAAAUCAUUGUCUCCCUCAUUGCUGUGUGACA